rnacentral:rRNA from 1 species
UAAAGCACUUAAGCAGUGAAGAGACCUAACGGUUAUACCCGUUAGCGAUGACAUUAGCUGCAGAAUAAGCACCGGCUAACUCUGUGCCAGCAGCCGCGGUAAUACAGAGGGUGCUGCGUUAUCGGAAUUACUGGGCGUAAAGCGAGCGUAGGUGGCUUGAUAAGUCAGAUGUGAAAUCCCCGGGCUUAACCUGGGAACUGCAUCUGAUACUGUUAGCUAGAGUAGGUGAGAGGGAAGUAGAAUUCCAGGUGUAGCGGUGAAAUGCGUAGAGAUCUGGAGGAAUACCGAUGGCGAAGGCAGCUUCCUGGCAUCAUACUGACACUGAGGCUCGAAAGCGUGGGUAGCAAACAGGAUUAGAUACCCUGGUAGUCCACGCCGUAAACGAUGUCUACUAG